AUGCACGCUGGCGGCGUGCCUCAUACCUGCAAGUCGCGCGCACGGACGAGAAGCUUGCUUCUCUGAUGUUAGCGGCGGACGGGUGAGUAACACGUGGAUAACCUACCUAUAAGACUGGGAUAACUUCGGGAAACCGGAGCUAAUACCGGAUGAUAUUUUGAACCGCAUGGUUCAAAAGUGAAAGACGGUCUUGCUGUCACUUAUAGAUGGAUCCGCGCUGCAUUAGCUAGUUGGUAAGGUAACGGCUUACCAAGGCAACGAUGCAUAGCCGACCUGAGAGGGUGAUCGGCCACACUGGAACUGAGACACGGUCCAGACUCCUACGGGAGGCAGCAGUAGGGAAUCUUCCGCAAUGGGCGAAAGCCUGACGGAGCAACGCCGCGUGAGUGAUGAAGGUCUUCGGAUCGUAAAACUCUGUUAUUAGGGAAGAACAUAUGUGUAAGUAACUGUGCACAUCUUGACGGUACCUAAUCAGAAAGCCACGGCUAACUACGUG
rnacentral:rRNA from 1 species